GUCCCCAACAUAGCUCAGUUGGUUAGAGCAUGGUGUUGCUAACGCAAAGAUUGCAGAUUCGAUCCCCGUAAGGGACA